AUGCUGAAGCAAUCCUCCAGCCUCAGCCUCUUGGGCAGGGGCUCUGGUUGCUCUACGUUGUGUCCUCUGGCUCUUCAGGCCAAACAGACAGCAUUUUCCACUGGACUUUCAGCAGCCCUGGACAAGGCCACAGCUGCAACCUGCCCUCUGGAUUGCUAGCAGCAGAGUCAAUCUGAAGUUCUAACUACCCUGGUCAUAUAUUUGGCUGGCCGUGGCUGAUGAAGCAGAAAGGAUAGGGCAGGAGUACUUGGCUGAUGCGUAGCCAACACGUCUUCUCAUGAUCAAAAACUAAAAAGGUGGGAACAAAAGAAGCUUCCAAUCCUUCUGGCUUUCUUCCCAAAGCCAGGAGGCAGCUCCUGAGUGGUGGAUUUUGGAUUAUAGGUGAUGCUCCCAGCAAAGGGCCUGGCCCAGAGGAAUGCUCAAGAGUAGGAUGAAAAGACUGAGGGCUUCUUCGUCUACAAAAGGAAGGGUUGGGACUGAUGGAAAUUGAAAAGUCUAGAUCUUCACAAUCCUCAACAGUUUCACCACCAAUGCACACACAAAAUGAGUGUGCCUUGUAUUUCCAGUCCUGUGAUGAAUAUGAAAAGAGCCUCACCAUCAGGUUCCACGUCCGGAUCUGAGAACUCACAGGGAGGGCUCACCUUCCUGGUCCCAAAAUACUGCAAAAUAUAUAAUCCUUCAAUCUUAAACAUAUACAUUUUAUUGCUUUUCAUUAUACAGUUAUACAUAUUUACUAUUGAAA